rnacentral:lncRNA from 1 species
CCCACGAGAAAACAAUUGUGUGACUCUUGCUAAAAAUCUCUAUGCAAGGUUGUGCCACACACCAAAGGAGUAAAGAUAUCAAUGGCUUUUACCAUCUGAUCAAAUAAAAAACACUAACGAAGAAAAAAACAAGGAGAAAAUCCCAAGUCAGAAGAUAUGGAACUCAGGACACAGGGGCUUGGGUUCGGUUUUUGAAUGGGGCUUCGUAAAUAAGGAAGGGACCAUCACAAGAAGAGCACGGAGACAACACUCGGGAAUGAUUAUUCAGAUUCAAACACUUCACCACAACAACGAGAGGAGAUCCAACACCAUUACUCACCAUCAGAUAACGUUGGAGACCCAAUACCAUUGCCAUCACGGAUCAUCACCGCUCGGGAAGAGCACCUCACGGCCAGAGAAGGGGAGAACCAUUUGACUUCACCAGUUCUUUGAAGCUGCGAAGGUAAGUCAUCCUACACCUAAGCUCUUUGGUCAUACUCGGCUGUAUGCUCGUGUAUAUGCUUUCCUUGGAGAUGAAUGAGUGAUGUUUGAUCCAUGAAUAUAGUUGUGUUGUUUUCUUGGUGACACCCUCUGCUAAUCAAAACUGCACCCCAAAAUGUAGUUUUUGCAAGAUUCAUUAGCAUAACUUACAAUAGAAAAUAGACAUAUACUCCCCCAACACCAGGGCCUCAAUAUUCCCUUUCCCUGCAUCCAGAAAAGGCUCCAAAAAAUGUAAUAAAAAGCAAACAGAAACAGCAGAGGCAUUCAUAUCAGUUCUCAUACGAAAAUAGGAAAGGGAAGUAGUUUUUCCCUCUAGCGGACCAUACGCUUGUCUGCCACGGCUGCCUUCAAUCUCAACAUCACCUUUCCCCACACAGGGAAUAGGGUUCUAAAGCGUGACCAACACCUUUAGCAAACCGAAACCAAUGCCCUUUGUGCAUAACCUGAACCCGCACACGACCCUGUUAUCAUCAUCAACCUUCACUUACACCGUGAAGACCCAUAUGGUCAUCUUCCUGCGAGAGAAAAGCCUAACCCCUUUCACUGCAGAUUCACCAUCUUCCUAACCCAAACCCCCUCUUGCUUAACCGCUUUCCAUCCUAAGGCAUUCUUCACCUGAAACCAAAUAAUGAAACUAAGUCCCCCACUACUGCUCAUCUUCAAUCACCAAGGGAGGAAUUGAAUUCUUAAGAAAGGAAACCACUACAAAGCGAAAUCAACCCAAGCAAUACAGAGAACAAAAGAAGAGAGGAGAGAAGAAACUGAUCGUGAUUGAGGAAAAGGGUUUGCUCCUGUGAUGGCGGCGGCAUGGACGGGUCACUGAACGAGAGGAUUUCUCCUUUGGGCGAAGAUUGGAAAGGAGAGAACCCGGCGGCGAUCGGCACACCGGCGGCGCCUUGGACAGAGUAGGGGCUCUGUCAUGGUGGCUGGCCCAGCAGGUUGACGACGGCGUGCGUGUGGCAGUGGAGGAUGCGAAAUCGCUGCUCUCUCUCGAAGGAUGUGGUGGCGCCGGCGAAGCCAAGGCUGGUCGGACGACGUGGUGGCGAAUUUGGUCGGAGGUGAAGACGACGGCAGCACCGGCGACGCUGGGAGACGCCGGUAGCGCCGUGGAUUGCAGUUAGUGACGACUGGUUGGGGAGAGGAACAGCGGAAGUGGAGGAGGCUGCCUCUAGGGUUUGGUGUUCAUGGAGAGGAACUUGAGUCGAAAAUCAUAAAUUGUUUGUAAAGGGUUUAAAUCAUAAAUUGUGCUAAA